AGUGGAAGCUACAAAAACCAACCAUGUGGACAAAUGAGGAACACCUUUGGUCUGCAGAUGGCAACAUCCUACAUAAACAUGGAGGUCUCUGACUUAGGACAGCUGGAUAAUUCCAAUCAUUCCCCUCCAGACAUU